UACGAAGGGGGCUAGCGUUGCUCGGAAUCACUGGGCGUAAAGCGCACGUAGGCGGAUUGCUAAGUCAGGGGUGAAAUCCUGGAGCUCAACUCCAGAACUGCCUUUGAUAACUGGCAAUCUCGAGUCCGGGAGAGGUGAGUGGAACUGCGAGUGUAGAGGUGAAAUUCGUAGAUAUUCGCAAGAACACCAGUGGCGAAAGGCGGCUCACUGGCCCGGUACUGACGCUGAGGCACGAAAGCGUGGGGAGCAAACAGGGA
rnacentral:rRNA from 1 species